AUUCUCCCAUGAAAGAGAUGGAAGAUUUUACACAUAUAUACAUGUGUUAUUUUUGUAGUAAAGAAAAUUAAUAGAGAAGGCGAAAGGUCUUAUUGUUUUACUGAAGGUAAAAGUCAGAUUAAAACAGACUUCCGAGUGAACUAGAGUUCAGAUUAAAAUUAUUUUUUCUAUAGCUGUGAAACUAAUUCUUUUAAUUCUUCUGUUUGAUUGAUAGAAAGUAAUUAAUAGUGUAAAAGUUGGAUGUGUGAGAAAGAAGUUAAUAUUUCUUUUUCUUUUUUUU
rnacentral:lncRNA from 1 species